AUCCAGUUGACGAAUCCUAAAUAGGAUGAAACGCGCGUCCUGUAU
rnacentral:hammerhead_ribozyme from 1 species